CUGCGGAUGAUGAAUAGAUCAUGGGCGUGAUCACCUUCUUUAUCUUCAGUUGUGCUUUUAUUGGGACUUGACCAUGGAACUGGCAUGUAUUAUAAACUGAGUUGGUGUUGUUUCAAAACUACUUUGUUUCUGCUACUGCUAUGGUUUGUAAUAACCACUUUAAACUCUAAUGUGAUGUAAAACUAUGUUCUGUGAUGAAUGUUGUAAUCUGUGAUGGUGAUGC
rnacentral:lncRNA from 1 species